CUUGUUAUAUCUAAGGUAAUACAUUGUCCAAAGAAAGUCUACUGAAUGACUCCAAUAAGAUUUUAUUAGAAAAGUACUACAAGUAUUUUCUCUUCCACAAAUAAUUGUAAUAAAUACCUGAUUGAUUUCGCCAUUCAAUGCAUUUUUAAAACCUUAAACAUAUACACUAGUUAAAAGAAAGUUAAUAAAACAAGAUGUAUAGAUAGUAGACGAAUCCAAUAAACGUUACGACAUUUUCUAGACUUGUCCGUGCUGACCACAUGGAUACAGAGUUUCCACUCAUUUAGAAUGAAACUGUAUACGAAACCAAUCGUAAUCAAUAUUAAAUCAACAUACUUUCUUAUAAGUUUACAAAACCUAUUACAUAAUGAGUAAUAAAAUUAAAACAAAAUAACAUCAAACGACUUAGGAAAUAAACACAACGUGUAAUUUCACAAAUACCUACCUACCAUCGAAGUUGUCAAUAAAAAUCUUACCAAACCUUCAUAAUGUAGAAACAAGACACGGCGCGGCGUCGACAAUGAACUUGACCCUUGAGUUUUGCAAGUUUCGAUGCCCACUGGCAAGCGUAUUCACUCACGCAAGAACUACUAUUAAGCGCGCACGAACCAAACGGAGCGCUGACAAAAAACCAAAAAUGUAUCCGAAUCCUUUCGACAGAAAACAUUCGACGAUUAGACAAGUCUUGGACCGUUUAUUUAAAGACUCGAAACCAAUAAGAAAUAAAACUAAUCUCUCAAGAAAAAAUAGUAACAGCUCAUCAUGUUCGAACUCAUCGACGAAUUCAGAAAGGCGGAAAUACUACGGUCUUAGACUUCUCCCUUGAUCGGAUUGUGUGCUAAAAAGUGUUAUUUGUUUUACUGCUAGCCAUCACGUUCCAGUACAUUAACAACGGUACGUGACGAUGCUGUCGAUGGAUAAAACCUGUUAAGAUUUAUGUAGAUACAUACCUAUCUCCACCUGAAAUUCAUAUUAUUUGUGAAUAAUAUUUUGUACAUAUUUUACAAGAGUCUGAACUUUAGAGAAUACGUUGAACUUGUUAUUAUUAUACGACUAAUAGAAGAGUACUGCUUAAGUUUUAUUGUACUUGUUAUAAACGUCUACGUUGUUGACACUGCCUAACUACUAGCAAUAAAAGAUAUAAAUCUAUCUAAUUUUAAAAAUUGCAUGAGAUACUUUUAAAUGUCUGAUCGUGUGUUCUUUAUUCUUGGUAAGGUAUGGGUGCACUUUACGAGUAACUUUUUCAGUUUUUAUUUAUGAACUUUCAUAUAUUGUGAAUUGUUUCAUAUACCUUCAAGGUUGAUAACUUAUAUUAUUAUUUUCCUUCUGUUGUAAUUAUAUACUUAAUAGGAAAUUAAUUAUAGCAUGAUUAUGAAUUCCAAAUUUAAAUUAAGACUUUAUUCAGGCAAUAUUAGACUCGAUCCAACAAUCCAAAUCGAACGCAGAAACUCUCUAAAGAAGUAUAAGUCUUAAAAGUUUGUAAUAACUUCAUUGUAUUUUUCAUUGAAUGUAAUAAAUAUAUUUGUAUAUAUAUAUUUUUAAUAUCACUACUUUUCUAAAUGAAAGUAUAAAAUGAAAGUAAAACUGUAAUAAAUAGGUAUUGUUAUGAUGCCAUUUAAAGCUUUAAUAAUUGUAAGACAUUAAAUAUUAAUCUUAGUAAUAAAUUAACACAUUAUUUUUUACAACAAUAAAUAUUUUAAAAAUGCAA